UAGAGUAUGAUCCUGGCUCAGAAUCAACGCUGGCGGCGUGCCUAACACAUGCAAGUCGAACGCCAAAGCCCCUUCGGGGGUAAGUAGAGUGGCGUCCGGGUGAGUAACACGUGGGUAAUCUGCCUUCGGGUGGGGAAUAACCCAGGGAAACUUGGGCUAAUACCGCAUAAUGCAGCGGCACCUAAUGGUGAUUAGUUGUUAAAGCGGGGGAUCGCAAGACCUCACGCCUGAAGAGGAGCCUGCGGCAGAUUACCUAGUUGGUGAGGUAAUGGCUCACCAAGGCAUCGAUCUGUAGCUGGUCUGAGAGGACGGCCAGCCACACUGGCACUGACACACGGGCCAGACUCCUACGGGAGGAAGCAGUGGGGAAUUUUGAGCAAUGGGCGCAAGCCUGACCCACCAACGCCGCAUGAGGGAGGAAAUCCUCCGGGAUGUAAACCUCACACGCGAGGCAAGAGAGGCGCCGGCUGAUUAAUCCUGUGGUGGCACGAGCUCUUGCGUAAGCCACAGCUCACUACGUGCACCAUCCACGGAAAAAAGUCAGAGGCAAUCGCUGUUCGCAAUAAUAGCGCGUAAAGGGCGCCGUUUGCUGCGUGUCAAGUCGGUGUCAUAGCCUGGGGCUCUACCCCGGAGUGUCACCCGAUGCUCACUUGCCGAGUAGCUACGCUUAUUAGGACUCCCAUGGCAGCCGUCAAUGCGUACAUAUCGUGAGGAAUCAUUACCACAUGCUACUACCGUUCCGAUAUGACUCUGAUGUGCGAAGUCAGGCUAGCGAAGGGAUUAGAAACCCCGAGGCUUUC
rnacentral:rRNA from 1 species